rnacentral:rRNA from 2 species
ACUGCAAGUCGAGCGGACAGAUGGGAGCUUGCUCCCUGAUGUCAGCGGCGGACGGGUGAGUAACACGUGGGUAACCUGCCUGUAAGACUGGGAUAACUCCGGGAAACCGGGGCUAAUACCGGAUGCUUGAUUGAACCGCAGGUUCAAUUAUAAAAGGUGGCUUUUAGCUACCACUUACAGAUGGACCCGCGGCGCAUUAGCUAGUUGGUGAGGUAACGGCUCACCAAGGCAACGAUGCGUAGCCGACCUGAGAGGGUGAUCGGCCACACUGGGACUGAGACACGGCCCAGACUCCUACGGGAGGCAGCAGUAGGGAAUCUUCCGCAAUGGACGAAAGUCUGACGGAGCAACGCCGCGUGAGUGAUGAAGGUUUUCGGAUCGUAAAACUCUGUUGUUAGGGAAGAACAAGUACCGUUCGAAUAGGGCGGUACCUUGACGGUACCUAACCAGAAAGCCACGGCUAACUACGUGCCAGCAGCCGCGGUAAUACGUAGGUGGCAAGCGUUGUCCGGAAUUAUUGGGCGUAAAGCGCGCGCAGGCGGUUUCUUAAGUCUGAUGUGAAAGCCCCCGGCUCAACCGGGGAGGGUCAUUGGAAACUGGGGAACUUGAGUGCAGAAGAGGAGAGUGGAAUUCCACGUGUAGCGGUGAAAUGCGUAGAGAUGUGGAGGAACACCAGUGGCGAAGGCGACUCUCUGGUCUGUAACUGACGCUGAGGCGCGAAAGCGUGGGGAGCGAACAGGAUUAGAUACCCUGGUAGUCCACGCCGUAAACGAUGAGUGCUAAGUGUUAGAGGGUUUCCGCCCUUUAGUGCUGCAGCAAACGCAUUAAGCACUCCGCC